ACCAACCUUGAGCACAACAGUCUGCAGCAGAACCAAAUUGACUGUCAUAUUGACAACAUAAAGGAAAACAAGAAAGGGAAAAAGAUCCCAUAGUGCAGCCAAUUUCUUGUUAUUAACAAGAGAAAGAAUGCAUUGAUCCCAUAACAUAGAACGGAAAUUUGACAAAGAGAGGGAUUUGCAACUGCAUACACAAGGAACUGACAAACUAAAGCUUUUUAAUAACUUUGUUACAGAUAUCCAUGUAUUACAAAUUUAAAUCUCAGUGUUUUAUAGAGAAACUUGGAAAGAAAGAACAGCAAAAACCAAAG
rnacentral:misc_RNA from 1 species